rnacentral:lncRNA from 1 species
GGCGGAAGAGAGCAGGGCCCUGGGCAGGUGCUGAGCCAGGUCCUGCAGGUCACCCAGUCGCUUGAGUCCACGAAUGCUGGAGGCAGGCACUGGAGAGCCAGGGUGGUUCAGCCGCAGCUCCUCUGAGCAGGGAGUCAAACAGGGCUGAAACAGACACCAGCUCUCCAGGACCAGCUGCUCCAGGAAUCAACCUCUACCCUGAACCAGGUCCCUGAGGACCACCACGUGGCUGCAACACAGCAGGAGUUCACAGUCCAGAGGAGAAGCCCGAUGCUGAACAGAGAAUCACAUCCGUGAGCAACACAAAAGGCAAGGCAAACCCUGGGCAGAUGCCCCCGGGACUGUGUGUUAUGGGCCUACAGGAAGCCUCUCCCAAUGAAAAAGCAAUUUUUCAGCCAGAACCUCCACCAGUGUCUUUCAAACUGUGAGUGGCAACCCAUUUGUGGGUCAUAAAAUCAAUUUAGUAGUUGUGACCUGAAUUACUUGUUAGUGAAAUAGAGAGGAAUUUACAACAUCACACUUAGGAAAUACUGUUUUGUGAAAUGUUAGUUUCAGUUAUCUAUCUAUCUAUCUGUCUGUCUGAGAGAUCAUGUUUAUUAGUUAAGAUAUUAAAUGUAUUUCUUACUGCAGGUCUCAAUCAAAAACCUCUGAAAGCCACUGGCCUAGAGUUAGAGGAAGAGUUAGCCAUGAGAAAUGGUGGUGACACAGGUUCCAAAAGAAGAAACAAUAGGUAUCAGGCUCAGAGAUGAAAGGGCUAGAAGGAGGACACACCAAGUUCAAGGAGCCUGGACCUGUGGCCUUCCCUGCCUCCACCUGGGCCUCAACCGUCACGACCACCUGGCCUUUGAGGUCUCAUAGAACUCAUCCCCAAAAGUCCUUGUGAAGAUUUAGUUUGUAAGCCAGAUGUCUGCAGACCUCCAGUAAAAGAAUAUGUUUUUGGUAUUAGUAUAAAUCAAAUGGCUCACGCUGUGUCUCAGAGCUGCAACGAUCCAACGCCCUCCAUCCUUCAGAGGCUGUCUGAGUCCGGGGACACAACUCCCACCCUCCUCUCCUGCCAGCCGCGGCCCGUGGCUGCUCUCUUCACUUCGUCCCGCUUCGCCCCGACUGUGGAUCUACCCGCUCCCUUCUCCCUCAGUCCCCAAAGCACCAGACUCACAGGCCUGCUGUGUGACCCACUUUUACCGACCUUUCGGGGAGAGUAGAGGGCAUUUGUGACUCAGCUCAGAGCAGGAAACACAUCUCACGUCAACUGUCAGACAGCGCUGCUCCGAAUCCCAUCACAGUGCUCCAGCAGGGGGCGUCCUCACCGGCCGCGGCCACAGCCACGGCUCAACCCGGCCUAGCUCCCAGACACCCUCCUUCCACCGCCUGUUUUCCACCGUCCCCGCCUGCUCUUUCAAGCCAGCAGCAAACAACACCCUAAUCCGUGUCUUUAUUAUUCAAAGACCUUAAGCACUCUUUCCCACCUCGUUCCCAUCUUGAUUAUUUCAGGGAAUGAAUUAGGGAUUCACCUUUACAAUCAAAAAAGUUCUCUCAAAGCCAGGCUACUGGAGUUCUAAUUCUGCCUUCCCACUUUUACUAGCUGUGAAAUCUCAGGAAAGUUACUUAACCUCUCUCUGUCUCAUUUUCCUCAUCUUUAAAAAACAGGAUGAUAAUAUUUAGCUCCUAAGAUGGUUGUGAGGAUUUAAGUGAGCUGAUAUAUCCAAGAAUGUCUAGAACAGCGCGUGGCAGAAUGGGCAUUGCAUAUGGGUUUAAUCUUGUAACUGCCAUGUUUCACCAAUUCUAAGGUGUAUCUCGUUUCUCAUCAUAAGAGCUCUUCCGCUCGUGUGGCAGCUGGGAGUGGCCGUCAUUGCCUGCGCAUACCUAAACUUGGUCAGCAGCCAAGUGUUUUGUGAGACCUAAGAAAGGAAGAGCCCCAUAAGUAAAUGGAACUGUUGUGUUGUUUUAUUACCGAGAAAAGGGCAGAAUGAUUGCUAGUCACACGUGAAGCAAGAAAACCCCGGCAAUAAAGCUUGCAGAAUGAGUGGCUGAGGCUUGAAAAUAAAUGGUGGAAACAAUAGUGGACAAUCUUUUAAAGAAUGGCACAUUGCCAAUGCUCCUGAUGGCACAGAAGGUGACACCAUGCAGAAAAUCAAGGCUCUGAGUCAAAGAGGGUUUCAGAAAAAUUGGACUCUGAAUGUGAAGAAAUCUGGGGACUAUUUUAGCCAAUUUGUUUUGCCUAUAAUUUCCUUUUAUGCAUGCAAAAGAGCAAUUCUGACUUUAAAGACUGAUAUCUAAAUAAAUCUAAAAUAUCUUUUUUGUGUGUGUGUCUGUGAUACAGUGUCUCGCCCUUUCACCCAGGCUGGAGUGCAGUAGUGCAAUCUCAGCUCACU